rnacentral:rRNA from 1 species
UCAAGUAAUGAAGUGCACAUGGUGGAUGCCUUGGCAGUCAGAGGCGAUGAAAGACGUGAUAGCCUGCGAUAAGCGUCGGUGAGGUGGCAAUAUCCUGUGACCCGGCGAUUUCUGAAUGGGGAAACCCAACCAACAUAAGUUGGUUAUUACACAGUUUACUGUGUAAGGCAAACCGGGAGAAGUGAAACAUCUCAGUACCCCGAGGAAAAGACAUCAAAUGAGAUUCCGUAAGUAGCGGCGAGCGAACACGGAGGAGCCGAUCAAUUUUACAGUAGCAAAAUGGCGUGGGAAAGCCAACCAUAGUAGGUGAUAGUCCUGUAUGCGAAACUGUUUAAGCGACAUAUUAAGUAGGGCGGAACACGAGAAAUUCUGUCUGAAGAUGGGGGGACCAUCCUCCAAGGCUAAAUACUCCUGACUGACCGAUAGUGAACCAGUACCGUGAGGGAAAGGCGAAAAGAACCCCUGUUAGGGGAGUGAAAUAGAACCUGAAACCGUGUGCAUACAAGCAGUCGGAGCGGACUUGUUCCGUGACGGCGUACCUUUUGUAUAAUGGGUCAGCGACUUAUAUUCUGUAGCAAGGUUAACCGAAUAGGGGAGCCGUAGGGAAACCGAGUCUUAAUAGGGCGAAUGAGUUGCAGGGUAUAGACCCGAAACCGAGUGAUCUAUCCAUGAGCAGGUUGAAAGUGCCGUAACAGGCACCGGAGGACCGAACCCACUGUCGUUGAAAAGCCAGGGGAUGACUUGUGGAUAGGGGUGAAAGGCUAAUCAAACUCGGUGAUAGCUGGUUCUCCCCGAAAGCUAUUUAGGUAGCGCCUCGGACGAACACCAUUGGGGGUAGAGCACUGUUUCGGCUAGGGGGUCAUCCCGACUUACCAAACCGAUGCAAACUCCGAAUACCGAUGAGUGAUAUCCGGGAGACAGACGGCGGGUGCUAACGUCCGUCGUCAAGAGGGAAACAACCCAGACCGCCAGCUAAGGCCCCAAAUUCCUAGUUAAGUGGGAAACGAUGUGGGAAGGCACAGACAGCUAGGAGGUUGGCUUAGAAGCAGCCACCCUUUAAAGAAAGCGUAAUAGCUCACUAGUCGAGUCGGCCUGCGCGGAAGAUGUAACGGGGCUCAAACUAGGAGCCGAAGCUGCGGAUUUAAUUGUUUCAAUUAAGUGGUAGGGGAGCGUUGUGUAAGCCUGUGAAGGUGUAUCGUAAGGUAUGCUGGAGGUAUCACAAGAGCGAAUGCUGACGUGAGUAACGACAAAACGGGUGAAAAGCCCGUUCGCCGGAAGACCAAGGGUUCCAGUCCAACGUUAAUCGGGGCUGGGUGAGUCGACCCCUAAGGCGAGGCCGAAAGGCGUAGUCGAUGGGAAAUCGGUUAAUAUUCCGAUACUUGUUUAUGAUGCGAUGGAGGGACGGAGAAGGUUAUGCCAGCCUGGCGAUGGUUGUCCAGGUGGAAGGAUGUAGUUAGACUGAGUAGGCAAAUCCGCUCGGUUAUUAAUGAGAUCUGAUAGCAAGCCAGUUUACUGGCGAAGUGGCAAAUACCCUGCUUCCAGGAAAAGCUUCUAAGCGAUAGUCAUAAACGAAUCGUACCCGAAACCGACACAGGUGGUCAGGUAGAGAAUACCAAGGCGCUUGAGAGAACUCUGCUGAAGGAACUAGGCAAAAUGGUACCGUAACUUCGGGAGAAGGUACGCUGCCGAUGGUGAUGAAACUUGCUUUCUGAGCUGUUGGCAGUCGCAGAUACCAGGCUGCUGCAACUGUUUAUUAAAAACACAGCACUCUGCAAACACGAAAGUGGACGUAUAGGGUGUGAUGCCUGCCCGGUGCUGGAAGGUUAAUUGAUGGGGUUAGCGUAAGCGAAGCUCUUGAUCGAAGCCCCAGUAAACGGCGGCCGUAACUAUAACGGUCCUAAGGUAGCGAAAUUCCUUGUCGGGUAAGUUCCGACCUGCACGAAUGGCAUAAUGAUGGCAGCGCUGUCUCCAGCAGAGACUCAGUGAAAUCGAAAUCGCAGUGAAGAUGCUGUGUACCCGCGGCUAGACGGAAAGACCCCGUGAACCUUUACUACAGCUUUACAUUGAACUUUGACCUAACUUGUGUAGGAUAGGUGGGAGGCUUUGAAGCAGAUACGCCAGUAUCUGUGGAGCCAACCUUGAAAUACCACCCUGGUUAUGUUGGGGUUCUAACUUGGAUAUAACAGUAUCAAGGACAAUGUAUGGUGGGUAGUUUGACUGGGGCGGUCUCCUCCUAAAGAGUAACGGAGGAGUACGAAGGUGCGCUCAGAACGGUCGGAAAUCGUUCAAAGAGUAUAAAGGCAAAAGCGCGCUUAACUGCGAGACCCACAAGUCGAGCAGGUACGAAAGUAGGUCUUAGUGAUCCGGUGGUUCUGUAUGGAAGGGCCAUCGCUCAACGGAUAAAAGGUACUCUGGGGAUAACAGGCUGAUACCGCCCAAGAGUUCAUAUCGACGGCGGUGUUUGGCACCUCGAUGUCGGCUCAUCUCAUCCUGGGGCUGAAGCAGGUCCCAAGGGUAUGGCUGUUCGCCAUUUAAAGAGGUACGCGAGCUGGGUUUAGAACGUCGUGAGACAGUUCGGUCCCUAUCUACCGUGGGCGUUGGAAAUUUGAGAGGAUCUGCUCCUAGUACGAGAGGACCAGAGUGGACGAACCUCUGGUGUUUCGGUUGUCACGCCAGUGGCAUUGCCGAGUAGCUACGUUCGGAUGGGAUAACCGCUGAAAGCAUCUAAGCGGGAAGCCCACCUCAAGAUAAGAUUUCCCUAAGAGCCGUUGUAGACUACGACGUUGAUAGGUUGGGUGUGGAAGUGUAGUGAUACAUGUAGCUAACCAAUACUAAUUGCUCGUUUGGCUUGACCAU